UUUUUAUUUAUUUUAUAGAAAACAGGAACGAAAUUUGGAGAAUACACAGUUCAACAUUGUUACCUUAAGAACUUUGUAGAUCUCCCUCUAAAUUGCAGGAAUUGGCAUUUCAGAAAUUUUUCACAUUUUGCAAAAUUUUUCAGUGGGAGCUAAGUGUCCCUCCCCCAACUUUCAGAGCCGCUCCAACGCGAAAUAGAAAAAAAUAGAAAUGGUGGUCGCGUGCUAAUGUAUCUUCGCGAAUCUAUAUCAUACGCAGAACGAAAUGACUUCAUAAUGGACUAGAUUGGAAAUUAUAUGUAUUGAGAUCAAGAAACAAGUAAUAAUCCAUUUCUUCUAUACGCAUGGUAUAAACCGCCGAAUUAUAAUGUUGAUUUAAUCGUUGAAUUCGAAUCUUUCCUUUUAAUAAUGGGCAUAGACGUACGAGACGAGUGAGGGGCAAUUCCACCCCCCCCCCCCUCACAUUUUUGGAAAACCACAGAAAUUCGGGCAAAUGCUAGGAAAAAUCAAGAAGAUUCGGAC